rnacentral:rRNA from 1 species
GACAGAGGGUGCUAGCGUUGUUCGGAAUCACUGGGCGUAAAGGGCGUGUAGGCGGCGGGGUAUGUCCGGUGUGAAAUCCCUCGGCUUAACCGAGGAAUGGCAUCGGAAACUACCCCACUAGAGUGCGAGAGAGGGUGGCGGAAUUCCCGGUGUAGAGGUGAAAUUCGUAGAUAUCGGGAGGAACACCAGCGGCGAAGGCGGCCACCUGGUUCGCAACUGACGCUGAGACGCGAAAGCGUGGGGAGCAAACAGG